UACAUGAGGAAAUCAAUAGAGAGAAGAUCCUAGAACUCACCAACAAGAUGAUUGAGCUGCUGACUGGAGAGGUUCCUAUAAGGUGUCAGGAUGUCACCAUCUAUUUCUCCAUGGAGGAGUGGGAGUAUUUAGAAGGACACAAAGAUCUCUACAAGGACGUCAUGGAGGAUCAUCGGCCCCUCACAUCACCAGUUAAGCAAGAGAGAAGAACACCGGAGAGAUGUCCCAGUCCUCUUCUUCC